GUGUGUCUGUCCGCCGACCAAGGAAGAAAGGUGUGUGUGUGUGUGAAAAAAGUGUCAAUUCUGUGUGGAUUACGAGUCAAGUGGUCUUUCAUUGUGUAAAUCAAGGAUAUAUUUUAGGACAGUGACCUAUAUUUUACUAUGAUUUUUGUCUGUAUACAUGUGCUGUGUGAUACAUAGGCUGUGUCUGAUCAUGUGAUGUUUACAUUGUUCGGGAUCAAAAUCCCACUGUAACCAUUCCUCACUAUUGCGCUGUAAAACAUGGUCAUCAUUGGUCAAAUCAAAUCACAAACAAAUACCAAAGACUGGUGGAGCCGCUUUCCAGGAUUCUGUUGGAGCUUAUCAUAGAGACUAGAGUUGCCUACCCUUCACCAACAAACAAGUCAUCAUCAAUCAUUCUUCAUCACACUUGCUAAACCUCUGAUAUAUUUGUGCCGUCAGAGAUACAAAUGUACACCCAAAACAAGAGUACCUUUGUGUUUGGGUGAGAGUGAUUAUUUUCUCAUCUUAUAUAACAGCAUGAACUUUGACACUAGCAUCCCUUUGAUCAUGUGACCACUUUACGGACCAAUUUGAGUGUUGCCUGCAUUCUGUAGAUCAUGAGGAUGAUUUUGUUACUUUUUUUCUGUGUUGUUGACAGACAUGACCUUGUUGUGUAGUUGAUAUUUCAUAAACAGAGUUUAUAAUCUAGCUGUACAGGUGCAAUCUGUGGUUAUUGAUCAGUAAAAUAUUUUGCAUUGUUUACGUAAAAAAUGAAUUUUUAUUUCUAAUAGCAUUUGUGAUUUGUUUUGAGUAAUAAUAUAAACUCUUACAAUAAAUGACCAGAAUAAAAU
rnacentral:misc_RNA from 1 species